rnacentral:rRNA from 1 species
AGGACGAACGCUGGCGGCGUGCUUAACACAUGCAAGUCGAGCGACGCUCCUCCUUCGGGAGGAUGACGGAGCGGCGAACGGGUGAGUAACACGUGGGCAACCUGCCCCUAGCUCUGGGAUAACCCCGGGAAAUCGGGACUAAUACCGGAUAUGAAGUCGGACGGCAUCGUCUGACUUGGAAAGUUUUUCGGCUAGGGAUGGGCCCGCGGCCUAUCAGCUUGUUGGUGGGUAAUGGCCUACCAAGGCGACGACGGGUAGCCGGCCUGAGAGGGCGACCGGCCACACUGGGACUGAGACACGGCCCAGACUCCUACGGGAGGCAGCAGUGGGGAAUAUUGCACAAUGGGCGAAAGCCUGAUGCAGCGACGCCGCGUGAGGGAUGACUGCCUUCGGGUUGUAAACCUCUUUCAGCAGGACGAAGCGAAGUGACGGUACUGCAGAAGAGCACCGGCACUACGCGCCAGCAGCCGCGUAA